AGCGCAGUGGAAGCGUGGUGGGCCCAUAACCCACAGGUCGCAGGAUCGAAACCUGC
rfam:Zea mays cultivar B73 B73V4_ctg26, whole genome shotgun sequence.